rnacentral:rRNA from 1 species
UACGUAGGGGGCGAGCGUUGUCCGGAUUCAUUGGGCGUAAAGAGCUCGUAGGCGGCUUGGCAAGUCGGAUGUGAAAACUCCAGGCUCAACCUGGAGCCGCCAUUCGAUACUGCUAUGGCUAGAGUCCGGUAGGGGAGUGUGGAAUUCCCGGUGUAGCGGUGAAAUGCGCAGAUAUCGGGAGGAACACCUGAGGUGAAGACGGGUUGCUGGGCCGACACUGACGCUGACAGCGCGAAAGCCAGGGGAGCAAACGGG